rnacentral:rRNA from 1 species
CUACGGGGUGCUCCAGUGGGGAAUAUUGCACAAUGGGCGCAAGCCUGAUGCAGCCAUGCCGCGUGUAUGAAGAAGGCCUUCGGGUUGUAAAGUACUUUCAGCGGGGAGGAAGGGAGUAAAGUUAAUACCUUUGCUCAUUGACGUUACCCGCAGAAGAAGAACCGGCUAACUCCGUGCCAGCAGCCGCGGUAAUACGGAGGGUGCAAGCGUUAAUCGGAAUUACUGGGCGUAAAGCGCACGCAGGCGGUUUGUUAAGUCAGAUGUGAAAUCCCCGGGCUCAACCUGGGAACUGCAUCUGAUACUGGCAAGCUUGAGUCUCGUAGAGGGGGGUAGAAUUCCAGGUGUAGCGGUGAAAUGCGUAGAGAUCUGGAGGAAUACCGGUGGCGAAGGCGGCCCCCUGGACGAAGACUGACGCUCAGGUGCGAAAGCGUGGGGAGCAAACAGGAUUAGAUACCCUUGUAGUC